rnacentral:rRNA from 1 species
AGAGUUUGAUCAUGGCUCAGAACGAACGCUGGCGGCAGGCUUAACACAUGCAAGUCGAACGCACCGCAAGGUGAGUGGCAGACGGGUGAGUAACGCGUGGGAACGUGCCCUUCAGUUCGGAAUAACCCAGGGAAACUUGGGCUAAUACCGGAUACGUGCGAGAGCAGAAAGAUUUAUCGCUGAAGGAUCGGCCCGCGUCUGAUUAGCUAGUUGGUAGGGUAAUGGCCUACCAAGGCGACGAUCAGUAGCUGGUCUGAGAGGAUGAUCAGCCACAUUGGGACUGAGACACGGCCCAAACUCCUACGGGAGGCAGCAGUGGGGAAUAUUGGACAAUGGGCGCAAGCCUGAUCCAGCCAUGCCGCGUGAGUGAUGAAGGCCUUAGGGUUGUAAAGCUCUUUCAGCGGGGACGAUAAUGACGGUACCCGCAGAAGAAGCCCCGGCUAACUUCGUGCCAGCAGCCGCGGUAAUACGAAGGGGGCUAGCGUUGUUCGGAAUCACUGGGCGUAAAGGGCGCGUAGGCGGCUUGAUAAGUCGGGGGUGAAAGCCUGUGGCUCAACCACAGAAUUGCCUUCGAUACUGUCUGGCUUGAGACCGGAAGAGGUAAGCGGAACUGCGAGUGUAGAGGUGAAAUUCGUAGAUAUUCGCAAGAACACCAGUGGCGAAGGCGGCUUACUGGUCCGGUUCUGACGCUGAGGCGCGAAAGCGUGGGGAGCAAACAGGAUUAGAUACCCUAGUAGUCC